UACGUAGGUCCCCGAGCGCUGCGCGAAUUCACUGGGCGUAAAGGGCGUGUAGGCGGCCUGGGGCGUCCCAUGUGAAAGGCCACGGCUCAACCGUGGAGGAGCGUGGGAUACGCUCAGGCUAGACGGUGGGAGAGGGUGGUGGAAUUCCCGGAGUAGCGGUGAAAUGCGCAGAUACCGGGAGGAACGCCGAUGGCGAAGGCAGCCACCUGGCUCACUUGUGACGCUGAGGCGCGAAAGCGUGGGGAGCAAACCGGAUUAGAAACCCCUGUAGU
rnacentral:rRNA from 1 species